AUACGUAGGGGGCGAGCGUUGUCCGGAAUGAUUGGGCGUAAAGGGCGCGUAGGCGGCCGCUUAAGUCUGGAGUGAAAGUCCUGUUUUCAAGAUGGGAAUUGCUUUGGAUACUGGGGGGCUUGAGUGCAGGAGAGGUUAUCGGAAUUCCCGGUGUAGCGGUGAAAUGCGUAGAGAUCGGGAGGAACACCAGUGGCGAAGGCGGGUAACUGGACUGCAACUGACGCUGAGGCGCGAAAGUGUGGGGAGCAAACAGGAUUAGAUACCCUGGUAGUCCACGCUGUAAACGAUGAAUACUAGGUGUGGGGGGACUGACCCCCUCCGUGCCGCAGUUAACACAAUAAGUAUUCCACCUGGGGAGUACGAUCGCAAGAUUGAAACUCAAAUGAAUUGACGGGG
rnacentral:rRNA from 1 species